AGCGAACGCUGGCGGCAGGCCUAACACAUGCAAGUCGAACGAAGUCUUCGGACUUAGUGGCGGACGGGUGAGUAACACGUGGGAACGUGCCUUUAGGUUCGGAAUAACUCAGGGCAACUUGUGCUAAUACCGAAUGUGCCCUUCGGGGGAAAGAUUUAUCGCCUGUAGAGCGGCCCGCGUCUGAUUAGCUAGUUGGUGAGGUAAAGGCUCACCAAGGCGACGAUCAGUAGCUGGUCUGAGAGGAUGAUCAGCCACAUUGGGACUGAGACACGGCCCAAACUCCUACGGGAGGCAGCAGUGGGGAAUCUUGCGCAAUGGGCGAAAGCCUGACGCAGCCAUGCCGCGUGAAUGAUGAAGGUCUUAGGAUUGUAAAAUUCUUUCACCGGGGACGAUAAUGACGGUACCCGGAGAAGAAGCCCCGGCUAACUUCGUGCCAGCCGCCGCAGUAAGAC
rnacentral:rRNA from 1 species